rnacentral:snoRNA from 1 species
AGCCUCAUUGUAGAUGAAAAUGGACACUGUUGGUCAGUGUCCAGAAUUGCUCAGCGUGGCUAACUUGAAACACAGGUCAUGCUUCCAUCACAGUAAACAUAGUGCAGUGGUGACAAUGAGACCUGUAACAUUG